GACUUUCACUUUCAUAUGUACUAUGAAAAUUGUGCAUAUCAAACAAAAGAUCACUUGGUUCCAGUGAAGAACAUAACUUUUUAAAGGGAUUAAGAAGAAGAAAUAACAAUUUAUUUGAAUUUCACAUGGAUUCCUUAAAAAAUAAGCCUCUGCAGGCAAGGAAGAUCAAACAAAUAAUAGAAGUCUGUUGAAGCUUUGUCCUGACCUAUUCUGGAAGUAGAAGAAUACGCUGGAGAAAGGAGCAUUGUAAGCACAAAGAAUAAAACCCCUCAAUCCUGGGAGAGAGAAUUAAAGUCUAACCCUCCAAAUGACUGGACCUCAGAGGGUGAAAACUGUGCCUGGGGACCUGACCCUUUCUUGUCAGAGUGGAGAAUAACAUUCAUUUGUUUGGGCUGCUCUAAUGUGAUACUGGAAUUGAAUUUACCUAGGGCUCCAUAUCAAGGUUGACUUGCAAGUCUUCUUGAAGAUCUGGGAGAAAUAGGUAUUAAGUCAUGAUGCAGGAAUCUGCGACAGAGACAAUAAGCAACAGUUCAAUGAAUCAAAAUGGAAUGAGCACUCUAAGCAGCCAAUUAGAUGCUGGCAGCAGAGAUGGAAGAUCAAGUGGUGACACCAGCUCUGAAGUGAGCACAGUAGAACUGCUGCAUCUGCAACAAC